UGCAAUAAAUUAUGACACAGGCGUUGAGAGAGUCCAUCAACCAGAGGGAGGACAAAGAGGCAAUGCAGAUUUCAGUUGGACUACGAAGUGCCAGCUGUCUUCUAGGGCUGUAAAAACACAGUUUAAAAGCUGUUAUCAGAGCCCAGAAACCAAGGCCGCCUGGCCAGAUCUGGCCAUGGAAGUGGGAAGCCCUGGGACACCAUCGAAAGCAAAGGAAAACUGGGAUGCCUGUCCCAGUAUUUCCCUAACCUGCAUCCUCCAGUCUCCGGCCAGAACUCCCACCGCUUCCAUGUGGCCUGAAGCCCAUUGCCAAGGGGGCCUGGGAAAUGCAACUUUUCAGGGAAAGACUCAGAUUAUGUCUGAGAGCAAAGAAGCAGGCGACUGGCUGGAACACUCAUCUCCCUGAGUACACGGAUGAAAUCAUUUGGCAUCUGCCCUAGCCAUAAAGCCAACCUUCCGCGAAACAACUUUCAGUCCAAGAUACAAAAACAGGGCUGCAUGUGACUUCCUUUGCAGAAGAUGGGCAGAUCCAUGGACUUUCCUUCUCUGACAGCUGCUCAUGCCACCCUGCCCGAAGGUCACUCAGCUCUCAUGAGCUUUACCCCAUACAUGUCAUUUACUGUGGUCACACCUGGACCUUGUCAUGCUCUACAAGGCAUUCUGCAGCCCUCAUCUUAACCCUCAGUUCUGCUUCCUCUUCCUUCUGAAUUCCUUCUCUGCACCUGCAGCAGAUCUCCCAGUCUCGAGACUGCUUUUCCUCCCAAAUGAUUACCCUUCCCUCCUCCUGGCACACUACAGCCAUUCCUCAUCCAUGACCUAAAUCUCUCUUCUUGCACGGCCAUUCUCCAUCUUUAAAAUGCCCUUUCCCUCUCCCCCACUUCUCCCCCAAGUUUGACCCUAUUCAAGAAAUCAAGGCCCACCAUUUCCAUGAGAAAGCGGAUUUUUUUAAUCUGUUUUGCGCCCUGCCAUAGUCCCAGCAACCGAGAAGAGUGGCUGGCACAUCAUCAGUUCUCAAUAAAUAUCAA